rnacentral:piRNA from 1 species
UGGAUAAAGAUUGCCCCAAGGAAAGC